rnacentral:rRNA from 1 species
UCCCGCGUAAUUUAAGCAUAUUAAUAAGCGGAGGAAAAGAAACUAACUAGGAUUCCCUUAGUAGCUGCGAGCGAACAGGGACGAGCCCAGCACUGAAUCCUGCGCGUCGAGCGCGCGUCUGGAAAUGUAGUGUUUGGGAGGGGCCGAUCAUCUCGUGCGAGCGCACCAGUCCAAGUCCAUCUUGAAAGCGGCCACAGCCCAUAGAGGGUGCCAGGCCCGUAGGACGGUGGCGACGUACUCGCACGAAAGGUCCUCUCCCCAGAGUCGGGUUGCUUGAGAGUGCAGCUCUAAGCGGGUGGUAAACUCCAUCUAAGGCUAAAUACGACCACAAGACCGAUAGCGAACAAGUACCGUGAGGGAAAGUUGAAAAGAACUUUGAAGAGAGAGUUCAAGAGUACGUGAAACCGUUCGGGGGUAAACGGACGAAAUCUGGAAAAUCGAAGCGAGAGAUUCAAGCUCCAGCCGCCGCGCGUCGAGCGGCGCCCGCCGAUGGCGGACCGGCGCCCGCGUGUCGCAGCAAUGCGCACCGGUGUCGUUCGGUACGUUCACGGCGCGGCGCAACUCGCGCCGGCCUCGGGCCGCACUUUUCUCGUUGUAGUACGUCGCGACCCGUUGGGCGCGCGUCCAAGGCCCGCGCACGGAGCCGACCUCGGUCGCGUGCCGGCCCCGCUCGCGGGGUCGGUGCGUCGCACCGGAUCGACGGCGCGGUGACCCGACGCGCACGCCCGACGGUAGCAAAGUGAAACGGACGACACGAACCCGUAGUCGCCCGGCGCGUCGCGUAAAGCGGCGCGUCGGCGGCCGGUCGAGUUUAACUAUUCGGCACGUGUCGCGUCAGCGACGCUCUAUCCAGAGCAUCAUCCGACCCGUCUUGAAACACGGACCAAGGAGUCUAACAUGUGCGCGAGUCAUUGGGACCGUGCGAAACCUAGAGGCGUAAUGAAAGUGAAUGUCGGCCGCUUCGGCGGCCGGCAGAGGGGAGAUGGCGGCCGGCCGAGCGUCGCGCCGCCCGCAUCCCCGGGGCGUCUCGUUGUCAUUGCGACACAGCAGGCGCACCCAGAGCGUACACGUUGGGACCCGAAAGAUGGUGAACUAUGCCUGGUCAGGUCGAAGUCAGGGGAAACCCUGAUGGAGGACCGUAGCGAUUCUGACGUGCAAAUCGAUCGUCAGAGCUGGGUAUAGGGGCGAAAGACUAAUCGAACCAUCUAGUAGCUGGUUCCCUCCGAAGUUUCCCUCAGGAUAGCUGGCACUCGGAGACUAUAGUGGCGGGCGGGGCGGAAAUUUAUUUCCCACCGUCGCGCAUCAACCAGUCUCAUCUGGUAAAGCGAAUGAUUAGAGGCCUUGGGGCCGAAACGACCUCAACCUAUUCUCAAACUUUAAAUGGGUGAGACAUUCGACUUGCUUAAAUGCUCUUGUCGUUGAAGUCGAAACCUUAAAAACACAGGAUGAAAGGGCGCCAAGUGGGCCAAUUUUGGUAAGCAGAACUGGUGCUGUGGGAUGAACCAAACGUCGCGUUAAGGCGCCUAAAUCGAUGCUCAUGGGAUACCAUGAAAGGCGUUGGUUGCUUAAGACAGCAGGACGGUGGCCAUGGAAGUCGGAAUCCGCUAAGGAGUGUGUAACAACUCACCUGCCGAAGCAACUAGCCCUGAAAAUGGAUGGCGCUCAAGCAUCGUGCCUAUACGCGACCGUCACUGGCAAACGGGGCCGGCGCGUGCGUGGGGGUCUCGUACCUUUGCGGGCGCCGUCGACCCCACGAGGUCGUGACGAGUAGGAGGGUCGCGACGGUGUGCGCAGAAGUGUUGGUCGCGAGACUGCAUGGAGCCGCCGUCGGUGCAGAUCUUGGUGGUAGUAGCAAAUACACUAGCGAGGCCCUGGUGGACUGAUGUGGAGAAGGGUUUCGUGUGAACAGCCGUUGCACACGAGUCAGUCGAUCCUAAGCCCCAGGAGAAUUCCGAUGUUGAUGUGCAGUCGUUUUUACAAUAAUAAAAUCGAAUAAAUAUAUUUGAUAAAUUCUUUUGUUUGACCACAUCGGGCGAAAGGGAAUCCGGUUCCUAUUCCGGAACCCGGCUGCGGAACCGACAUGCGGGCCACUCUGCAGCAAUGCAGAACUCGUCGGGGUAACCCAAAAGGACCCGGAGACGCCGUCGGAUGAUCGAGGCAGAGUUUUCUGUUCUGUAUGAGCGUUCGAGUUCCCUGGAAUCGCCUAGCGCGGAGAUAGGGUUUGGAACGCGAAGAGCACCGCACUUGCGGCGGUGUCUCGAUCUAUCCCUCGGACCUUGAAAAUCCGGGAGAGGGCCACGUGGAGGUGUCGCGCCGGUUCGUACCCAUAUCCGCAGCAGUCUCCAAGUGAGGA